rnacentral:misc_RNA from 1 species
GACGCACCUACACAUCCAUACAAACAUAUGCACUACUACCUAGUUCGGCCCGUUUUGUUUGAUGAGAGAGAGAAAACCGUAAAAUGUCACAAGAAAAGAGAGCGAACCACCUACUCUAAUUUCAUUAUGGUUCGGCCGCAAACGUUUGCUCUCGUUCUUGCUGUGAGAUGGAGAGCGAUAAGCAGAGCCGAAACGAAGUCAGAUUUCUAAGCAGAGCUUGCACUCUUGCACUCUGGUCACAGUAUUUUCAGUUCCCCCUCCCCCUCAGUCGGUGAUUCAAAGCGUUCAAUUAAAUCGGGCGUCCAAAUGCAAGGCAACAAAGGCGGAAAGUGUGUAAAAGUGCGAAUAAAAUAAUUCACCUGUAGAACUAUGGUCUAGAAAGUGCGGAAAUAAUAAGUGCAAUGCAUUACAGCAUACGAAACGGAACCAAAUGUGUAUUAUUUUUGUUUUUUUUCCUGUGGGAGUGAAUUCAGUCCACAAGGCGGCAUUUGGGCAAAAGCUGAGUGAAAGUGUUAAAUGGGAGUGAGAAAAAAGCGCAAUGACUAAAUAAACAGCAAGACUAUUGAGUGCAAUGGCAGAAAAACGAAAUUAAUGACGCCAAAUGAGUGAAAAGAACAUUCAAAACAACAAAGACAACAACGAAAUGCAAUAAAAGGAAACGGGAACAAUUAUGCACAACUACAACAAGCAUUAUGGUACGUGGAUUUCGACGUCACUUGACGGAAGCUCACCAAUACCAACGCAACGAAACGAAAAAAAACCAAAUUGGUAAAAAUCAAGUGAAAAUUGUCAUAGAAAAACUAUAUUCUCCCCUUGCUCGGCUCAUAAUGGCGAGUGGCGUCCCUCGUGAUUACUUUUGCGAGUGAAAUCUUCGACCAGCAAAGGGGCAUCAACAAUCAAGACGUAGUCACGCUCGGUUGCGCCUCUGGGCAGCCUCCUGGGGAUCUGCGGUGGGCAGCUACCGGGAGAGCAUGGCCUGGGACCAAACCGGGAUCGAUGACGACGAAGCCAAGCCCCGGGAGGGAAGGGAAGCCAACGAACGAUGCUGUUUGGGGAAUACAGCCGAAAUUCUUGGCGAUCUGAGGCCAGGCGAUGGUGUGACCAGGCUGGACUGCUCUGACAGACCCGUGGAGAGGAUCUCACAUGUUCUCGCACAGCGGGUCCAGCGUGCAAAGACAGUGCCUGGGACAAACAGCUAUGUAAGCAACUAGGUGCUGGUGGCACCCUUGGCGCACGUGUCAUCCUUUGACACUGAAUGGGAGGGUAUCGAUGUUCAUGAUUGACUGUAUUGACACACUGUAUUGGCUGUUUCUGGAUCAAAGAGUCACCUUGACACGCUUGGAAAAUGGCUUGGCCGAAUGAUCCUGCCGUGAUCAGAUCCCAUGGAUAAGAUGAAUUCGGACUUAUGUGAAGGUAUGCCCAGCCAGAGCCAAAGCAUGCAUGUAGGUCAGGAUACAAUCGUGGAGCUAGCCACCGAAUAUGAGGCUGCACCGAAGCAGGUCUCCAAAGAGGAUGUGCCGUUUUCCAUGCGUUCUUUGUUCCAGAAACAGCUCGUCAAUGCUGUCAAUGAAACAUCGAUACCCUCCCGUCCACUGUCAAAGGAUGAGACGUACGCCAAGGGUGUACCGGGAGCUGCGCUAAACAUAACCUACCCACCUGUUCUUGCUCGCUGGACCCGCCCUGUGAGAACUGUGAGAUCCUAUUCAUAGGUCUGUGAGAUCAGUCCAGCCUGGUCACACUAUCGAGUGGCCUCAGUCGAUUAUCGCUAAUAAUUUCGGCUGGAUUCGCCAAACAGCAUCGUUCGUUGGCUUCCCUUCCCUCCCGGGGGGGCGCCCCCGAGCGUGGCUACGUCUUGAUUGUUGAUGCCCCUUUGCCCACACCAAUGGAUGGGUGUGCGUAAUCACGAGGGACGCCAGUUGCCAUUGUGUGUAUUAUUGGUGGUAUAUACUAUAGUGUAGUAUAGUUUUUCACUUGAUUUUUACCAAUUCACCAAUAAAAAUAUUCAUAAUUGGUAGUAAUUGGCUG